rnacentral:rRNA from 1 species
GACGAACGCUGGCGGCGUGCUUAACACAUGCAAGUCGAACGUGAUUUUUGUGGCAAUUCUUUCGGGAAUGGACAUGAAAUGAAAGUGGCGAACGGGUGAGUAACACGUGAGCAACCUACCUUACACAGGGGGAUAGCCGUUGGAAACGACGAUUAAUACCGCAUGAGACCACAGAAUCGCAUGAUAUAGGGGUCAAAGAUUUAUCGGUGUAAGAAGGGCUCGCGUCUGAUUAGCUAGUUGGAAGGGUAAAGGCCUACCAAGGCGACGAUCAGUAGCCGGUCUGAGAGGAUGAACGGCCACAUUGGAACUGAGGCACGGUCCAAACUCCUACGGGAGGCAGCAGUGGGGAAUAUUGCACAAGGGGGGGAACCCUGAUGCAGCGACGCCGCGGGAGCGAAGAAGGUUUUCGAAUCGUAAAGCUCUGUCCUAAGAGAAGAUAAUGACGGUAUCAUAGGAGGAAGCCCCGGCUAAAUACGUG